AACCUCAAACCUUUAACAAUGUGGUGGUGAAUUCUCAGCCUGCCGUGAUAGGCGUAUCUCCUCUUCGUGCGACCUACAAGGAUUACUUCGGAUUGUCCAUCUUCACUCUUAUCUGCUGCUGCUUGCCCCUUGGGAUCGCCGCUCUGGUUUAUUCUUGCAAGACUCGAGAUUCCUUGACACGCGGGGACAUGGUUUCUGCUUCCAGUGAGUCGCGGACCACGUUUAUUUUGAACAUGGUAGCCCUGGGAGUAGGAAUUGCUGUGAACAUCAUUUGGAUAGCGCUCGUUAGUUACUACACAUCAAUCGUCUACACUUAUUCCAAUUAAAACUAUUAUGGCUAACGCUUAUCCCUGCAUCCUCAUCCCAAAUAAAUCAUAAAAAAUAUCAGAUGCUGAAAACUGUGUGUUUGCUGUACAUUCUUCCUGAUUUGUUUUCACUUUUUUUUCUUAUAUGUCAAGAGAUUGCUAUAAUUUAGCGUUUUGUUUGCGCAUCACAUUAUAAUAAAUCUCUUUUGUUAUU